rnacentral:misc_RNA from 1 species
CUUUUACAUUGUCAGAUCACAGAUGCUAUGUUUUAUGCCACAAAAUGAAGAUAAAACUUAUUGAACAACAAUACAUGCUCAAUGUGAUCUUAAAUGUCAACUAGAUGGGAUAGUUGUCACUUGUCACAUUCUUUCACUAACGGAUCUUGGCUCAUCUCAGUUAAACCAAAAUGUACAUUAUUCAUGCCUACAUAAAUUUAACAAGUAAAAAAAACCCAAGCUAAAAGCAGCUUUAACCAAAAAUUUUUGCAUAUCUGCAAAUGAUAAACCAUCAAUAUUGCAAGAUGCCAGGAAUAUUUCCCAGUUCAAUAGACCUGACAAAAGAAUUUCUUUAAGUUGCCUAGGAUUCAUAAUGAAGAUCAAUGUAUUGAGCAGCUUCAUGAUCUUCAAUCAAAUUCUUGCAUGAAAUUUAGGAUAGGAAGUUGAUCAGAAAACGUAUAUUUCUUACACUACAGAAUCGCUAUCUCCGGCUUCUUUUUGGCCUUAGUCUCUUGAAAGCCAUAAAUGUAACAGCAGCAGAUAGAGAAUACCUACUCAAAAUACAACCAAUAUCAGAAGGAAUUGUAUUUGCUUCAUAAAUCAUCUGAAUCUUUUGAGUGAAUUUUAUCUCGUUCUUUCGAUUUGCCAAUGCAUGCCAUGAAAAUCACUCUAUACAUUUGGGUAAUUAAAGAAAAUGUUCGUAAUGCCAUACAAUAAGUACACCAAUCCCAUUUUGAUGAAAAUGGGUUUGGACACCAGGUGUAUGGUAUGAUGCCCUCGAACUUUGUCAACUAAACUAAGACACCUUGGAUAUAUGUUAUGACAAAAGAAUGGCAUGCUUCAAGGAUAAACCUAAUCAUAGAUUAGCUCUAAGAAAACAGUACAUCAAUGCUACCCUAAGUCCAAUCAGAAAUUAGGAAUGUUUUCUAAUCUUUAGAGUCCAAAGCAACAUAAAAUGUACAGAUCAAGGAAUAAAACAUGCAGAAGGAAGAAAUUAGAUUACUGUCAAAGCAAUUGCUUAAAUGUGUAAACAAAGAUAUCAAGUGACAGAACUAGCAUACCAUGUCAAUGUAUAAUUUAGAUGGUCUUGUGGCAUGACUGAACUGCGUAUCAAGGUAUUGACAUCCUUUGGAAGAGGGUAUGGGCAUGCUGAACUAACAUUUUCAUUGAUGUCUUCCACAUAGAGAGUAUUCUCAGGAAGCUCACAAGCUCGAGCGAUUGCUGGAACAUCAACAUAGAACCACUGGCCAGAGCUUGAAGCAUUUUCUGGAACAAAAAUGCUAGGCUUUUCACUCCCUCGAACCACUCCAACAACUUCUACAGGAGUGACAGCUGGGAUUUGAUCCUCAAUAACUUUUCGCUUCUUGGACCAAAACCUCCACCAUGAGCUUCGUUCGCUCUCUUGAGAAGAUGAGGAUUUUAUAUCUGAAGGUGGUUCAACAUGUUGUGAAAUUUCCAAGGAUCUUUCCUUCCAAAUACGAGGGACCCAUCCUCUAUUCACCAGAAUUGGUGACUGCACACUCUCAGGGUUGUUGGGGAUUGGCAUUAGCGGUGUAAUGACAUAGUAACCAUUUUCAGUCACUCCAGAUAUGCUUCUAGAACGUGGACCCACAUAGAUUGAUCUCUUCUCAUCAAAAAAACCUUUGCAUGCCACUCUCCUGAACUCCAAAGUAUCCAAUAGCUCACUUGAUGGCGAUAAGUCAUUGAAAUUCACAGGUUCAAUUUCCAAUCUCUUUUGUCUAUAAUCCAGCAUUUUAAUCUUUUCUUCCCUUCUGAAAAUCUGCCAAGUUCCAAGGCCAAAAGUGAUAGCUCCAGGUAGAAAUAGCAACCAUUUGGACCAUCUCGAGCCUCUCUCUUUUUCUUGCAAAUCACUUCCUUGAGGUUGAGGAGAGGAAGUGGAAGGUGUUUCGGAGACAGAAGAGGAGACGGCAGCGGCUGAGCUGCAAAACAACGAAGAUGAAGGAGCCCAAUGCUUUGGAAGGGAAGAAAUGGUCCCAAUUCCACCUGUACCACCAACACUAACACCAGUACUGACCGUUCUUAGGGCUUUGGAAAUGGAAGCUAGUGAUGCCAUCUUCACUCGGACAUCUGAUUAUUCUUGCUGGAGAAAGCAAUUGCACUAGCUCUUUCAGGGUUUAUGAUCUCAUGGCAUGGGGUUUUAAUUCAAAAUGGGCUCCAACAGAAUUGGGACUCGGAUAUCACUUUGGAGGCCCAAUUUAGCCCAAAAAUUUGGGUUUUACUCAACAAAUCAGAACCCAAUAUGGAAAAUUUAAAAACUAGGGUUUUACUUUGGGCAUAAACCCAUCUCCAGCUCUCCUGUAUAUAAUAAGCUGCAAAGCCCCAACCUUUCUUUGUUGGAGCAGCUCCUCUGCCUCUGAAAGAUUCUGC